GUUGUGGCUCAGUGGUAGAGCAAUUGCCUAGCACGUGUGAUGCCCUGGGUUCAAUCCUCAGCACAACA
rnacentral:tRNA from 1 species